UACGUAGGGUCCGAGCGUUGUCCGGAAUUAUUGGGCGUAAAGGGCUCGUAGGCGGUUUGUCACGUCGGGAGUGAAAACUCAGGGCUCAACCCUGAGCGUGCUUCCGAUACGGGCAGACUAGAGGUAUGCAGGGGAGAACGGAAUUCCUGGUGUAGCGGUGGAAUGCGCAGAUAUCAGGAGGAACACCGGUGGCGAAGGCGGUUCUCUGGGCAUUACCUGACGCUGAGGAGCGAAAGCAUGGGGAGCAAACGGG
rnacentral:rRNA from 1 species